rnacentral:misc_RNA from 1 species
GAUGAAGAACGUAGUGAAAUGCGAUAAGUAAUGUGAAUUGCAGAAUUCAGUGAAUCAUCGAAUCUUUGAACGCACAUUGCGCCCCUUGGUAUUCCGAGGGGCAUGCCUGUUCGAGCGUCAUUACACCACUCAAGCACUGCUUGGUAUUGGGCACUCGUCCGUCGAAAGACGGGCGUGCCUCGAAGACCUCGGCGGGGUUUCUCCAACUUCGGGCGUAGUAGAGUUAAAUCAAAACGUCUUAUAAGCUUGGUGAGCUCUCAUUGCCGUUAAACCUUUUUUUUUCAGGUUGACCUCGGAUCAGGUAGGGAUACCCGCUGAACUUAAGCAUAUCAAUAAGCGGAGGA